GGGGAGAAGGAGGAGGUGGUGGACGGAGGAGGAGGAGGAGGGGGACAGAGGGGAGGAGGAGGAGGAGGGGAGGUCAGGGGGGGGAAGAAGAAGGAGGAGGAGGAGGGGGGGGAGGAGGAGGUCAGAGGGGGGAGGAGGAGGAGGGGGAGGACAGAGAGGAGGAGGAGGACAGAGGGUAGGAGGACAGAGGGGGGAGGAGGAGGAGGACAGAGGGGGGAGAAGAAGGAGGAGGAGGACAGAGGGGGGAGAAGAAGGAGGAGGAGGAGGAGAUCAGAGGGGGGAGGAGGAGGAGGUGGAGGAGGACAGAGGGGGGAGGAGAAGAAGGAGGGGGAGGAGGGAGGAGGAGGAGGUCAGACGAGGGAGGAGGAGGAGGAGGAGGAGGAGGUCAGAGCAGGUGGGGGCGAUAAACACAGAUUCAUUUUCAGUCGACAAACAUUAUCAGGGAGGAUUCAGUCGUCUGCUCAGACUUGACCGGGUCGGUUCUG